rnacentral:rRNA from 1 species
GUCCCGCCUGCCCUGUGACCAUGAGUUUAACGGCCGCGGUAUUUUGACCGUGCAAAGGUAGCGCAAUCACUUGUCUUUUAAAUGAAGACCCGUAUGAAUGGCAUAACGAGGGCUUAACUGUCUCCCUUUUCCAGUCAAUGAAAUUGAUCUCCCCGUGCAGAAGCGGGGAUCCCCACAUAAGACGAGAAGACCCUAUGGAGCUUUAGACAAAAGACAGCCCAUGUCAAACACCCCUAAACAAAGGACAAAACUAAUUGGCCCCUGUCCUAAUGUCUUUGGUUGGGGCGACCGCGGGGAAACAAAAAACCCCCAUGUGGACUGAAGGCACCCUUCUUCACAACCAAGAGCCACAGCUCUAAGUAACAGAACAUCUGACCAACAAGAUCCGGAAUAAUAACCGAUCAACGGACCGAGUUACCCUAGGGAUAACAGCGCAAUCUCCUUCUAGAGCCCAUAUCGACAAGGAGGUUUACGACCUCGAUGUUGGAUCAGGACAUCCUAAUGGUGCAGCCGCUAUUAAGGG